GGGUUGCGCUGGGGUGGGUGUCCAGCGCUGUAGGAGGAACGCGGUGGGAGGAAGGCUUGCGGGCGUGCGGACUCGGCUUCGGGCCGAGCGCUUUGAAGAAUUUUGCAGAACCCUGCUACCUACAGACUCUGCCAUGGAUGUCAUGUAAAGAAACCCCGGAUGUAGUAACGGACAAAACAUGAGUCAGUUUGUGUUGUGGCAUUCAGAUCUGAACACACUGGGAGAGAAGUGAUUCUGAAUGGAGAAGACGUAGGACCGGUCAGUGGUAGGAUGGACUGUGCUUGGAAGACAGGCACCUGGAGCUCUCAGUUUGGACUAGGCUGGCUGGCAGUAAGCCCCCAGGAUCCUCCUGUUCUCACACUAGAGGCAUCAAACACCAAGAUUGUGAAGACCAUGGCCCAUCCUUAUGCAUUCAAGAGUUGAGUGUGGAUGACUUGGAGCUGAAAAACCCCUUCAGAAGCUUCAUGUGUCACGUGCAUUGAAGCUCUGCAUUAAACCCGCUCGCACAAGUAAAUGCUCAAAGGGACUGAAGGCCAUUAGUACAGUUUUUAUGUCUCUUUCUUUUACUUCAGUUUCUUUAGCCAUCAGGGUCCUUAAUGUUUCUUGUCUUUACUAUAGUAAAGACUCAGAGAAAGGCUACUUUCCAUGAAGUAGUAUGUACUUUCCAUGAAGUAGUAUGUACUUUCCAUGAAGUAGUAUGUACUUUCCAUGAAGUAGUAUGUACUUUCCAUGAAGUAGUAUGUUCUGUGGCCACAUGCCUUUAUUAGUGGAGAUGGGCAUUUUCACUUGAGUGUUUUGUUACAGCCUAUUAAAAAUUUGAUUCAGUAAUGUGAAAGUGAGGAUUAAAUAUCAAAAAAUUACAAUAUUAGAGAAGUAUGUGCUUAACAUGUGCAAAGCCCCAGGUCCAGUCUGCUGCAUUGUGUGGGGUGGUUAGGGGCUGUGUGGAUGUGCAAGGCCCAGGGUCCAGUUUGCUGCAUUAUGUGGGGGUGGCUAGGGGGUGUGUGAUGUGGUAGAAGUGACUUAAGCUGAGACCUUGGGUAAGGAGCCCUAAGAGUUAAUGGCUCUCAGCCCACCACUGCCUCUUACAGCUAUGUGACUGGGAAAGGUCUUCUCUCUGUGUCUUCAUUGGGCUGACCAGCAGCUGUUUAAAUGAAAGAAUUUAGGGGUAUUCACAGUGUGUCUGCAUAGUAAGAGUAACAUUGUUUCCAUUUUUAUAUGUAACAAUGUGUGCAGUUGGUAAUUAAGUCAAAGUUUUCUUUUUCUUGUGUGUUGCUGUCACAAUUUUCAAAGUAUAAUUUUAGCUCUAGUGCCUUUCUACACAUUUUAAUCCUUGGAGAUUCAUUUCAUUCCUUUCAUACCUGUGAGGAAGGAGUUAGUACUAAUAUCAAUGACAUCUGGUUUAAUUGAAAUAUUUUGUGUUUCAUAAAAUAUAGAAAGCCAGGUAGCCUGUGCUACUGUCUAUCCUGAUACUUACAACACUUAAGAAUUGUUCAACUUCAACUUUUUAGGAAAAUUAUGCUAAGUGUUUUACUUUAGGUAUUUUGUUUAUUUUAUUUUGAUGUGUGUGUGUGUGUGUGUGUGUGUAUGAAUGUAUGUAUAAGAGAGGGUGUGUGUGAGUGAGCCUGUGUGUGAGUGAGCAUGCUUGAGUAU
rnacentral:lncRNA from 1 species